rnacentral:miRNA from 1 species
ACAUCAUGAUGAUGAUGAUGAUGAUGAUGAUACUGCACUUUUUGGUUCUCUUGCGUUUCAACAAAAGUAUUCAUUAUCACCAUCAUCAUCAUCAUCAUCA